ensembl:snRNA U6 U6 spliceosomal RNA
GUGCUCGCGGCGACAGCACACACACACUAAAACUGGAGCGAUACAGAGAAGAGUAGCAUGGCCCCUGUGCAAGGAUGACAUGCAUAUUCAUGAAACGUUCCAUUUUUUU